UCGACACUGACGCCGACGUAGUCCCAGCUUUCUAAUUUGAUACAAGAGAUAGAGCAUUUGGAUUUGAAUCUUAUACAAAAGGAUGUUCCAGCUGAUACCAUGGAUGCAGUGAAGAGGACAAUCUCAGGAAUGUUGGGUCUUCUACCUCCGGACCAGUUACAGGUUUUGGUGGAAGCUUUUAAGGAUCCUGCAGCCAGCGAAUGGCUCGAGCCAACAAACAGAUGAGCAUGAUGUAGCCAAUUGGCUGUGUGGAUUUGCUUAGACCCCAUAUCUGCAAAGCAACACCCCCAUUUGUUUGAUCACAACAAGUCCUAACCCAUCUCUGUCAGAGCAUUUUGGAGCAUGUCUUCAGUUAAAAAUUUGGAGCAUAUUGGUUAUGGUCUUGCUGGACAUAGAAGUGAUUCUGGAUAUGAUGAAGCUGGUCGUGGCUGUUGGGAUGUUCGGGCUGAGCUCUGUUUCCAGGAUGAUGUUUGUGGUGUGGGUAUUCAUGAGCUCUAUACCUCACUCUGUAGCAGCGGCCUUUUGAAGCCUGGAAUAGAAGACGUGGGUAUUCAGUGGGUUUUGUUUGUUGAAUUUUGUUCAGGAGCUCCAUGUUUUAAAGCUCACAAGUCUUUUGUUAUAGAACUUUGUCCCCUAGAUCCUUUUGUAAGAUUAAGGGAUGCCUCACUCUAGAUCUGAUCGCUCUCACAAUGAGAGGUGAAACCGUGUAACUUCUUUCCUUUAAUGAUAUCUAUUUUGAUAAAAAAAAAAGAUUGAGAUGAAAAAAAAA